UUUCAACCCAGGCCAUUCUAUGAUUCUGUGAUUCCAUGAUAUAUACAUAUACAUAUAUGCACACACACAUGUAUAUAAAAGACACAUACAUUCCAUCACAUGAAAGAUAAUUGGUUCACCAACUAGUACAAAGGAAAAAAACCUGUCGGACUUCACGAACCUUUCUUUGACCAAGACACUGAAGCAGCGCAUUUCACAACUAAAUACCAUAUAAGAGAUUCCUGAGUUUUACUGGAUGCAGACCACUGAGACACCGGAAGGAAAAGGCAGGCAGGCUGUGUCCGCACAGCAGAGGGAUGGGCCAUCCCUUUUCCUAUCAGCAGUGCAACAGAGACACUAGUCGGGGAAAAAGGCAGGUAAUAAGAUACCAUGAAACUGGUGUUAACAACUGUAUAAUUUUAUCUAUAUCCAAUUUUUUUUUCUAUAUAUCCAAUAACUUUCAAUUUCCAGACUUUUCUCUUAAAGGCGUUAAAUCUCAUAUUGAAGGUCAAUGCAGAGCAGACAAACAGAAGUAACUCUGAACCAUUAAGAGUGAAAAAGACGUCUCAGAUCACCCAGCCCAGCCUCCAGCCCACCCCCACCAUGCCCACUGACCACGUCCCUCAGUGCCACAUCCACACGGCUCCUGAACACCUCCAGGGAUGGUAACUGCACCACCUUCCUGGGCAGCUGUGCCACUGCCUCACCACUCCUUCUGAGAAGAUAUUUUCCCUGAUAUCCAACCUGAACCUCCUCUGAAGAUGAAAUGCAUCUUCCUACUGCAUCCAUUUACAAACAUUCGUAUAACUGCCGAUCCAGUAGUUGAAACAUGAAGUCUAAUACUAAAAGUCACACACAAAUAUUAACAGGGAAGAAAAAUAUCAAUACAAGCUCUUCAAUGCUUAAAGGAAGCUCUCUGCUAUGGCUAUCAGCAAAUUCAAAACAUUUGCCCUCCAGCUUUCACAGCUGCUAAGUACUGUGUAUAACGUCUUUGCUUUAAUGGUCUCACACAACAACAACACUGUCACGGCAAUUGGGAAUUCCACCUCAUCACUUUAUGUAACUGUUUUUUCACCUCUUUCCAGUAAUAAAAGACUGAUACUG
ensembl:lncRNA